UCAUAUGCUUGUCUCAAAGAUUAAGCCAUGCAUGUCUAAGUAUAAGCUUGUUUAUACGGCGAGACUGCGGAUGGCUCAUUAAAUCAGUUAUAGUUUAUUUGAUGGUCUCUUUUGUCUUUUUUUUACCUACUUGGAUAACCGUGGUAAUUCUAGAGCUAAUACAUGCGCAAGGUCCCAAGCGCGGGGGGCGGGGCUUCACGGUCUCGUUCUCGCAUGCGCAGAGGGAUGUAUUUAUUAGGUUAAAAACCAGCAGCCGGCAACGGCUUCAACACUCCUGGUGAUUCAUAGUAACUCUUUCGGAUCGCAUUCAUGUCCUCCUUGUGGGGACGGCGACGAUUCAUUCAAAUUUCUGCCCUAUCAACUUUCGAUGGUAGGAUAGAGGCCUACCAUGGGUCGUAACGGGUAACGGAGAAUUAAGGGUUCGAUUCCGGAAGAGGGAGCCUGAGAAAUGGCUACCACUUUCUAAGGAAGGCAGCAGGCGCUCAAAUUACCCAAUUCCCGAACACGGGGGAAGGUAGUGACA
rnacentral:rRNA from 1 species